rnacentral:tRNA from 1 species
GUCUCGUUAGCUCAGUUGGUAGAGCACCUGGCUUUUAACCAGGGUGUCAAAGGUUCGAAUCCUUUACGAGGCACCA